rnacentral:rRNA from 1 species
ACAUACGACCAUAGGAACAUGAAAGCAAGGCUUCCCGUCCGCUCAGCCAUAUUUAAGCAUGUUACCGGUUGAUUAGUAGUCAGGUGGGUGACCACUGGCGAAUACCAGCUGUUGUAUGUAG